rnacentral:rRNA from 1 species
AUUGAACGCUGGCGGAAUGCUUUACACAUGCAAGUCGAGCGGCAGCGCGGGGCAACCUGGCGGCGAGCGGCGAACGGGUGAGUAAUGUAUCGGAACGUGUCCUGUCGUGGGGGAUAGCCCGGUGAAAACCGGAUUAAUACCGCAUACGAUCCAAGGGUGAAGGCGGGGGACCGAAAGGCCUCGCGCGAUUGGAGUGGCCGAUGUCAGAUUAGGUAGUGGGUGGGGUAAAGGCUCACCAAGCCAACGAUCUGUAGCUGGUCUGAGAGGACGACCAGCCACACUGGAACUGAGACCCGGUCCAGACUCCUACGGGAGGCAGCAGUGGGGAAUUUUGGACAAUGGGCGAAAGCCUGAUCCAGCCAUUCCGCGUGCAGGAUGAAGGCCCUCGGGUUGUAAACUGCUUUUGUACAGAACGAAAAGGUUUCUACUAAUACUAGGAGCUCAUGACGGUACUGUAAGAAUAAGCACCGGCUAACUACGUGCCAGCAGCCGCCGUAA